UACGAAGGGGGCGAGCGUUGUUCGGAAUUACUGGGCGUAAAGCGCACGUAGGCGGAUCGUUAAGUCGGGGGUGAAAUCCUGGAGCUCAACUCCAGAACUGCCUUCGAUACUGGCGAUCUAGAGUCCGGAAGAGGUGAGUGGAACUCCUAGUGUAGAGGUGGAAUUCGUAGAUAUUAGGAAGAACACCAGUGGCGAAGGCGGCUCACUGGUCCGGUACUGACGCUGAGGUGCGAAAGCGUGGGGAGCAAACAGG
rnacentral:rRNA from 1 species